UACGUAGGGGGCUAGCGUUGUCCGGAUUUAUUGGGCGUAAAGAGCGUGUAGGCGGCCUGGUAGGUCUGCUGUGAAAACUCGAGGCUCAACCUCGAGAUGUCGGCGGAAACCAUCUGGCUAGAGUCCGGAAGAGGAGAGUGGAAUUCCUGGUGUAGCGGUGAAAUGCGCAGAUAUCAGGAAGAACACCUAUGGCGAAGGCAGCUCUCUGGGACGGUACUGACGCUGAGACGCGAAAGCGCGGGGAGCGAACGGG
rnacentral:rRNA from 1 species